rnacentral:rRNA from 1 species
UACGUAGGGGGCAAGCGUUGUCCGGAUUUAUUGGGCGUAAAGAGCGUGUAGGCGGCCAAACAGGUCAGCUGUGAAAACUCGAGGCUCAACCUCGAGACGUCGGUUGAAACCGUUUAGCUAGAGUCCGGAAGAGGAGAGUGGAAUUCCCGGUGUAGCGGUGAAAUGCGCAGAUAUCGGGAAGAACACCCCGUGGCGAAGGCGGCUCUCUGGGACGGUACUGACGCUGAGAUGCGAAAGCGUGGGGGAGCAAACAGG